CUUCCAGAAGCCAACUAAGAGACUUGCUCUUGGUCACAAACGAGGAAACAGAAAGUCAGAAAUGCCAAAUAAUUCUUUAAGGGACCUUUUUCAGAAAGUUCCUCACUUAAUGAGGAACUGUGAAAAAGAAAACAGUAGUCAAGGUGCCAGCUGGCAGUGCAUCCUGGACAAGUAAUGAAAAGAAUCGAGAGUAUUUACAGGUCAGUUACAACUAAGCAUGUUUAAGUUGUAACUGGGGAAAUGGCUCAACAGUUAAGAGCACACACUGCCUUCCCAGGCACUCAAGGUCGUUCCCGGCACCUGUAUUGGACAGCUCACAUUACCUGUAACUUCUACUGCAUGGAACUACGUAGCACGAAUAAUAAAAACCCAGAGACAGAUAUUGGGGUUCAAGCUGAAGAUCAGAAACGCAGAGCAGCCAGCCGCUAGAGAGUUCUUACCUCUACCAAGGCUAAGACCAAAGAGGAACAGACUGCAGUGCUCUCCACCAAGACUGCACUGAGCUCCGGCCUUAUAUUCCUCUGUAGUGCUGGAAUUAAAGGUGUGUCAUCCCAAGUGCUGGGAUCAAAGAAAAGCUGAAGUACAGAGAGGCAAAGUUACGAGACCAAAGGUGUUCAGCAAACCACUGGAAGAACGAAGAACCCAGACGUUCUCUCCUGCUUCUUCCCAGAGCAGCACAGAAACUAGACCAUCCCUGUCUGUAGCAGACAGGCCCUUGCUAUAAAAGUGAGCAAACCCUCUAGCCGCCAGCAACUCUAAGACUCGAGUCUUCAGGACCCCUGCCCAGGCGGUACAGGGCAUCCAUCUCUCCUGCAGAGCUCCGCUCCAGAUUCCUGAGGGGAAGACUCUCUCUCCCUGUAAGUCUCCAUCAUGCCUCCUCCUCCGAUGUGAUGUGCUGUCCCUCCUGAUGUCCUCCCUCCCCACCCCACCCCCAAACAUGCAGCGCACACACACCACGGUCUGGAAGAUGCGUCUGACAGCAAAGCUCCCCUCUGAGGGUAGCUGGCCUCAGCCUCCUCUCCAGGAACCCGCCAGCUGUUUGUUUUAGCAGCAAGGCACCCGCAUUCUGUUCCACCAGCCUCUGCCCCUCCCCGCACGGGCCGAGCAGCAGUGUGUUCUGGAGGUUCAAACCAACGUUGCUGUGUAUCUGGAAGCUUCAGAAGCAGCGAACAGCUCACACCAGCACGGCCACCGCGCACGAACCUCAAGCUGCGGCAACCGCCCAGGUCCUGAAUAACUCCAGCCGCCCAGAAGCCAGUCUGGAGGCCCAGAAGCCGAGAAAUCCGCAAGACCGGGAGUCUAGAGGCCCGGAAAACUAAGUCCACACUCAGCCAGUGGCCCCGAUCCUGGCUCAGCAAGUCCACUAAGCACUGUGGGAGCAUUCAGGACACUUAAGCUCACGCAACCUUUCUUCCUUUUUUCUCGUUUGUGCCAGAGGCAUGAUUUUUGUCACCACAAACUAGCAAACAAAAUGUUAAAAUAGUAAUAAAAUAAAAAGGCUGCCACAGCGCCGACUGUCUGAAAGGCUGCCUGGGCCUAAUUGUGGCUAAAUUUUAAAUGUCAUUUUUUGGCAGGAAGUUUCCAAAAUUUAAGUGGAAAAUGUUGUGGCCACUGGCCAAGUAGUCCAAUUACUCAGUACAUUUGGGAGUGAAUUUUUUUUUUAGAAAAAAAGGUAUAAAAUGGAUCUUUCUGCUGCCGAGUAGAGCAUGACUAUAAUUCCAGCAUUGUGAAAUGGAGGUAGAUCGUCUACAACUGCCUAGCAAAUCUGAGAUCAGCCUGGGUUACAGUAAAAAAGAAAAGGUUUGUAAUGUGUUCAAUUUUGACAUUCUCUUCUAUGCUUUAUAAGUAGAAUGGCAUUAUUUCAUUUCAUUCAUGUAAAAACAUUGUGAAAUUCUCAUGGGGUAAUGUAUAUCAAACAUUUGAAAGAGUACCAUUGUUUAGAAAGCUUUCAACACACCGUGCUUUAUUUGUUAUCUCUUAAAUUAUCUCUGUAUUUGUUAUCUCUUAAA